rnacentral:rRNA from 1 species
GUGAACGCUGGCGGUAGGCCUAACACAUGCAAGUCGAACGGCAGCACAGUAAGAGCUUGCUCUUACGGGUGGCGAGUGGCGGACGGGUGAGGAAUACAUCGGAAUCUACUUUUUCGUGGGGGAUAACGUAGGGAAACUUACGCUAAUACCGCAUACGACCUACGGGUGAAAGCAGGGGAUCUUCGGACCUUGCGCGAUUGAAUGAGCCGAUGUCGGAUUAGCUAGUUGGCGGGGUAAAGGCCCACCAAGGCGACGAUCCGUAGCUGGUCCGAGAGGAUGAUCAGCCACACUGGAACUGAGACACGGUCCAGACUCCUACGGGAGGCAGCAGUGGGGAAUAUUGGACAAUGGGCGCAAGCCUGAUCCAGCCAUACCGCGUGGGUGAAGAAGGCCUUCGGGUUGUAAAGCCCUUUUGUUGGGAAAGAAAAGCAGCAGGUUAAUACCCCGCUGUUCUGACGGUACCCAAAGAAUAAGCACCGGCUAACUUCGUG